GUGGUAGGAGGAGGGAGGAAGGGAGAGCUCUUCUCUGUGGAGGGAGAUUUGGUUUGAAUUAUGCACGGUACCCAUACUGAAUCGAAAACUUCUGGGGUGAUUCAGGCUCCACAGGCUGCUCAGCAGCAAGGCAGGCUUUUCUGCUGAUAUGUCUUGACGCUUUAAAAGUUAUGAAAUGAGAAUUCUUCUGUUUAAAAGCCGGGAAUGAGCUUUGGAUUUCUAAAGUGUCAAAAAUGGUACCUGAUAAAUUGUCUGGACAUUAGAUUGCUAAACAGAAUUCACUUAAUGGGUUCAUCACAGCUACCAAGCUGUUUGAAGGUAGCAAAGCUACGUAUUAAUGCCAGAAUUAGUGUUUUUCUAUAAGAAAGUCACUUAGUUUUUGAAACAAAGGAGCAUCAUUUACAUUUGUAGUGCAAGAAGAAAGGUGUGUUUCAAACUCAGUUUGAGAAGAGAAUCAUCUGAGGGAAUAAGUGGAGUAGAAGAGAAAUAGCAGUUUACAUAAUGUACCUUGCAGAACUGCUCUUAAAAAUUGCACUGGAUAUAGCAAGGACUUAGCAAGUAAAUCUAAUUCUUCAUUAAAAGUGAUCUUUAAACACUGUAAAACUACUUUUUAGGUGUGUGUUUUGAACCAAUAAAUAUCUACUGGGCAUAUGAACUGACCGUGCUUCUGGUCACUUGAUCCAACAGUAUCCGUCUGCUUCAGAGGAGCUCCAAAGCUUUUCCAGGAUUACCACAGCUAUUAGGUGAUGCAAGAGAGAAAGUGUGUCAAAAACGUAUGAUCUGACAUACAAAGGAUGGGAAUGAUAAUUCAUAAUCCCUUUGUUUUGGACUCCUCUGUAUUCUGUGCCUUUGCAGUUAAUCCUUCUUUACUCUUUUAAGCCUUUCUUUAAAUCAUCCUCUAACAAUAAAUCUUAUCGUAGUGAGUCAGAGCCUGGUUUCCUCAGUCUGUUGACUGAGCGACAUACUGGAACAUCCGCAGUAGAAGAAUCAAUCUGUCAUGGCACGUCUCAAGUACUGUACGUGCUUGGUAACCUCAGAGAUACCUUAGUGGUGUAGCUGUGGAGUGGCCUAUGUACAAACUAUGUCCCAUCCCUCAAAAAAAGUAUGUUGGGGUGGUGGCAGAUAUGAUAUUCUUAUGAUUGAUUGGAAAUUGAUUCUACUUAUCUUAUAUUUGAUCCUCUUAUGUACCUUUCAUAGUUCUUUAGAUACGAUCCAGAUAUUGUUGUCCUACACUGACUGAAGUGCAAAUGUGAAGGAAAGUGUUACUUGACUUACAGUUACUUACAUCCAUGCAAUUAACUACAGUUAAUAAUUUACAAAAUGCUCAAAGAGGACAUUAUUUGAGGCUGUAAACAUUCUAAUGAGUCAGAAGUCUAAACUCCAGUUGACAACCCACUAUCUCUUUUAGAAGGCUGACGUUCUGAUCAUUUUUGGAUUAACAAAAUCUGAGCUCCACCUGUGGGCAUCCUUCAGGGGAACCUCUCCUAGAGACCCUGUGAUUUGUCUUGACUGUUGCAUACCUCUGAGAACUGAAGUAUUCCCCAGUGUUGUUAAUCCUUCUUUCGUCAUCAGUUCAUACCAGAAAGCACAAGCAUCCUGCAAAGGCAUAGCUUUUUCCUCUAACCUUCUGCAUUGCUUACUUAGCAGUGUAAUUACUCUUCUUAUAAGAGAGGAUGCAGAGCCUGGAUUCUCACCAUGUUUAUACUGGGGAAAGCAGCACUGACUGCAUGCAACCUGGAGGGACCUCAGAGGCUGUGGUAGGGAUGGAUCGGCAGUGUCAGUUCUCUGGAUUUUGGGUCGGGCAGUGGGAUUUCCAGGGAAGUUUUUCCUAGAACACAGAACUUCCUCCAGAACAAAGUCAGUCAUUCCCUCUUCCCUCUUUGUGUAAUAUAUAAUUUAAAACACUGGUUCAGGGAAUUAGUCUGCCAUGACCAAAGCACUGCAUUCACUCUAGACUAUGGAGCUUCCACUUGGAUCCAGGAGCAUGCUGCAGCUCUGCAUAGACAGCUGCAAUCUGUUCCUGCUCUUAGAUGGAUCUGGACCUUUUUCCAUUCAAGUUUAUUAACUGUACAGAACUUAGAAACUUUCCAAAAAUAACUUCAUUUCCUCCUGUCCUGAUCUCUGUGGCCCAGUAAGUUGCAGGGAAUGGCUUAACUGAGCUGCCCUUAUUUUACAUGUCAUUCUCUGGCAUGUGACUGUUACCUAACCAGCAGCUAUGAAUGUUUUAGUGUGCCCAUGUAACAUGGCUCGAUGUACUGUGCUCAUUACUAAAUCAUAACACUUAUAGUGUCCUUGCCACAUUGGCAGUGCAUUGUGCUUUUACCACAUUAAUUGCUUCAUACGCCACAGUGCACCACACCGGCACCCCUCCUGUGCCCACCUGGUCCUGUGUGUUCCCACCAUCAAAUAGAUGAGGGGUGAACAUCUGCAUAGCUGUUGUCGAGCUGCUGCUUUCCAACCAUGGUAUCGCUGUGCCACUGUUAAUAAUUCAGAAGUGAUGGAGAGAUGGGGGAGUGUAAGGGCUGCAGCACUCUGUGUCUGGGCACAAUGUUUGCUGCCUCCUGGGUGGCUGUGCUGUUGCCAUGGAAACGGGAGUGGGAUGGCACAGCGGUGUGCUGGCAUGGGGCUGCUGGCAGCAGCAGCACAUCUGCCCAGGUGUCAAACACUGGGGCUCACCUUCCUGCUGUCUGGGGCCUUUUCCCCUCGUUCUCUCAGCAGUUCCAUGAAACUUAGUUGUUAAACAGAUGAUGCUCCCAAGUUUUAGAGCGCGUGUUGAAGAGUUCUGUUGUUGGGGAUUUUGUAAAAAUACUCAGUGCCAGAAACUAAGGCACUACUGGGCUCAGCCUUGAUCCCUUCUGAAACUGGCAUGUUAUAUGUGCUCUUUUUAAUUGAAAAAUAUCUUCAGUACCAACUGCAAAGUGAGCCUGAAAGAUAAAGGACAAUUCUGAGCUCUUUCCUUAAAUAAUCACAAGAAGAGACGCAUUUGAGAAAUGUAGGACUUAAGAAGAGGCACUGGAAGAAAAGGAUUUUGACCUUAUAUAUUAAUAUUGAGGUGCUCUCACAGUUGGCCUUGUGCGACAGUGUCAAACCAUCCAUGGACGUGACAGGACCUGUAUUCCUCCACGGCUGCCUCCUGAGUGGGUCACUACGUUAUUUUUCAUCAUAAUGGGAAUCAUUUCACUAACUGUCACAUGUGGUUUGCUGGUGGCUUCCCACUGGCGAAGAGAAGCUACUAAAUAUGCCCGCUGGAUAGCUUUCACUGGAAGUGAUUUCAAGACUGAACAGCCCAGUACAGGCGGCUAGCAGAUACUCUCCUCGCAGAACUUUCAGAACAUGACAUAGGAUGUGCUGUCCUAAGUGGCAGUGAAGUCUGCUGGGAUUGCUAAAGGCAUCUCUGGGACUGGCAGCUCUGUUCUCUUCAAAUGCAAGGGGGGUCUAGAUGAAAUCAUCUAACGGCAAAGGAGUGCUCUUGCUCAGCCCUUUUCCUUGCAACUCUGCCAGCAACAAGGAGAGCCAGGCAAGAGGUCACUCUUGCCCCACUUGUGUUGGAAUUUGACCCCAAUGGGUUAAGUCAGUUUGUUGCAGAUCCCCUCUAGCUACCCUUCUGUCCGAUGUGGUGAAAUGCAGUCCAGAGAAGUUAUGAGAAAGUCUCAUUCUUAUCCAUAGGUGACUAUCUGAAAUACCUCUGUUUUUGAGGAAGAAGAUGAAGACCUCCCUUGCAGAAGAGAAAGGUCUUUAAAGAGCAGCUCCAUGUAGCUGGUUUAACAAUAUUACGUAGGGAAAAAGAACUUCUCGAUUCUUUUGAUUUUUAUGAUAAUCACAUGAAAGACUCCUAAGGAAGUAUUUGAUGUUUUCCUCAAUUGAUAGAAUUCUGCAGAGUAAAUUGGUGCAAACAUCUUCAGCACUUCAUUCCUUUGCUCACUUUACAGAGCACAGUAUGAUAAUUCAGGGAAGAAGAGUCCAGGUCAUAAACUAGUGCUGAUUGCUUGGCAUGCCUAUACCAACACCUUCACAGAGAAGCAAAGAUCCUGCAUAGGCCUUUCCUGAAUUCAGCUUCAUCAUGCUCAUAACUAGUCUCUGCCACAGAAUGUGAUUGCUCUUCCAUGAAGCUGAGACCUGUACUAUGUGCACCACAAUGUUUUCAGCAUUAAGAUAUAAAAUGUGAUAAGCAUUUCAUCUUGUAUAAACAUGGAGUUCAUUUUAAAAAAGCUGUUAGUAUUGCCGUGUAACACUGUAGCUGGAAAAACCAGAAUAUUAGCCAGAAGAGUAGUGAAAUUACGUUCCAAAAUAUUGAAGCCGCUCUACCCAUCAUAUCCUCAGCUGGAAAGAGUAGAGACUGUCUUGAUGUCCUCAUAAGAACAGGUGAGCUGCUGAAUUUGCUGUAGGUACCUUUGGAAAUAAAAGCAUCUGGAGCACUGCUGACUUGCACAGGAACCAGCAGUUAAGGUGCUAGCUAUUACUAUUGCCAACGUUAGGGAUUGUUUGGGUUGGUUUGGUUUUGUGUUGCUUUUUGCUGUUGCUUAAGUACAGUACCAAUAUUUCUUACUAAGAAAAAGCAGCAAUCUGUGCUAAGUGACAGAAGACUGAAUAAAUUAGUAUGUAGUAUGCUUUAUUCAGGCAGAGGCAUUGUAGCUUGGCUUGAAUUUUGUGAAUUUUUUCUCAUUUUAUAUAAACACUUUGAGGACUGGGAGAUGGUUAUGUCAAUUGUGCUUCAUAUUAGGAGAUGAUUGUAUGAAUGUUUAUAGAGUUGGUGGAAGAACAGAACAGGUUCAACUCCUGUGUCCCUCCGAUAUAAAAUAAGGAUGUUCCACUCACGGUAAAUGAUGUUUGAAAGAAAGUUGAAAUACUCAGAAGUGAAAUAAGAAUAAGGCACUAAUUGUUGACUUAAGUAGUAGAAAUAAAAGUCUGUGUUGUUCUAAUACUGAUUGAAGAAAAAGAAAGGGUGGGGAAAAGACAGUGUCUAUUGCUAUAGUCUUGAAUAUGCAGUCAAGCCAACUUAAAAGAUAUAUAUUUUUUAUUGUGAGAAAUCUCUUGCCUCUUAGAGAUGCCAUAUAUAUUUGGAAGCCCUUCCCUUGCUGGAGACAGUACAAGUCUGCAUAUUGCCGUGUUCCCAUUAAAUAAGGUUACUUACCCAGAGCUAUCUUACAGCAACAUUGGUGUUCUCAUCUGGGAAAGAUUACAGCAACUGUGUAUUUGUACUGAGGAAUGCUGGCCACUAUUAAUAUCUGAAGGCCCGUGAAAUCUAUCAGUGAUUCUAUUCUGUAUGGCAGCCCUAAUAUUUCCAAUAGGAUUUUACAUCAAUGAAGUCGGAGGUCAACCGUAUAAAUUACCCAAUAACACAGUGGUUGGGUCUUCGUACGUACUGUUUGUCUUAUCCAUUUUCUU